rnacentral:misc_RNA from 1 species
AAAAAAAAAAGAAAAAAAGAAAUAAAAAAAAAAAGAAAAGAAAGAAUACUGUAAACUAAUGCCUUAUAAGAAUAAAACUUAAUGUGAGCCAUACCUUAUGGAAAUAUAAAUUUAGUGACAGCCAUGGUAACUUACCAACUCAGCCCAUUUUAAUAUAUUAUUGAUACUUAUUAUCAUUAAAAGCUCAUUUACCCCACAGAUGGAAUAGGGGAUCCUAUUUUAUCAAGUUUAUUGCAAGGCAAUGCAUCAUUUGUGAACUUCAUUGAUUUUCUUUCCUACUAAAAAGAUUGCUAUUUAUAAAGAGACUCGUGCAUAACUGAUCCUACUCAAUAUACAUCCUUAAUUCCUUAUUAUGAGAUAACAAUCCCUCUUUUGGUUAUGCAUCUAACUUAGGAUGGUUGUUAUUAAAAAUCAUUCUGCUGUUGCUUUGAAUGCUUCGUCUUUUGUAAGCUGUGAUAUCUAUUAUUUGCAUAUUGUCUUGCAUGAUAGCAUUUUUUACUUGCAUCCUAUUUCUGGUUUGUCUUAGAAUUGUUGAACUAGCUAAUAUUUAUCAAUAUCAGAAAACUGGACAAUGGGAGAAAAUGUUGAAUGUUCAUUCGACAAUUGUAAUUUUUCAAUUUGCAAGUAGCUUUCAUGGAAUUAAGCUAGGAAAUGUGGGUGCCAACUAUUUCAGAUUCAAUUUCAAUCUCUUGAAACCGAGUCUUGUUUUGGGGCUGUCCCUUUAACCUAUCCUGGAGGCUAAAGGAUCAAUGAUAACAUUUUUUCUGCAUCGUUCCUUUCUUUUUCACCCCAUUGUGCGCAAGGAGCUAGCUAGGGAUACAUUCAAUCUUGUAUUAUGACAACUAGAAUCACAUUAAUCUAACUAAUCCACCAUUAAACUCUAAAGAAUGAAGAUGUAGCUUUUUCGUGACAAAGUGAAAACUAAUGAUACUAAAAUUAUAAUGCUAAAGUCUAUGUAAUAAUAGGAAAUAAGAACUUCAGGUUUUUAAGAAAUAAAAUUUCAUAUUUAGUAAGAUAUUUUUCUAAUGAUUUUCUAUUUUCUUGGAAAAGUUUCUGAAAAAUCUAGAAGUUAGUCUACCACAAAAUGCACCCUAAUGUGCACAUUCUAGGUUGAUAAAUUGUUACUUAACAAAAAUCUCCUUUUACUUCUAUAUAAUAUAAUCUUUCCAUAUCCUUUCUCUCUUAAAGGAGUUGGCAAUGGCGGGAGUGAUAAAGAAGUUCUUCAUUGCUUCAAUGUUUAUGUGGAUGGCUCCUAUUAUCAUCCUGUAUGGUUUUAACCAUGACUUGAUCCCUGGUGAGAUUGUCUAAUCUUUUUUUAUUCGGGAUAUUUUUUUUUUUUUCAUGAUAAUUUAUGUAUCAAAUGAAUAUUUUUAAGACAAUUGAUAUAAUCGAUGUAAGUUGUUAAUGCAAGCUACAUCCGGUUCUCGUAUUUGAGCACCAUAUUUAUAGUUUUUAACUUCGGAUUCUCACUAUUUACACAAAAGUGACAUAUGUACUGCUACAAAUAUUUUGGACAAUGAAAAUGUUCGUUUUAUUUGCCUUCUAUAACUAUCAUCUCUGUGGUCUUUAAUGUAAGUAUUCUACUAUCUUGGUUUGGUGAUUAACAAAUGCUUACAGAGGAAAAGAAUCAAUGUUAGAGAAUGUUUUCCUUGUGUGAAAUAUUUCAAGCCCUCAAUUUUGAUAUUUUGGAGCUCAAACGCAUCUUUUCAUUUACUUUAGGUGGGAGAUUUGGUUUCAUGGGUUGGGUUGUGAGAUCCACACUAUAUCUUCUGCAUUUUGAGUUUGUUGUAAAUCUGACUCUAAGGCUAUGAGUUUUUGUAAUUAGGGAGUACAUGCAACUUCAGAAAGAAUUUGGUCCAACAUCUUUUAUGGGUUCAAUUGACAAAUGCUAAACAGAAAUGAUUUGAAGGAAAUUUGUGUGGAAGAUUAAAUACCAAAGUCCUAAUCUCGUGAAUCAUUCUCGUGCUUUUGAUGAGUAUUCAUUGUUGACAUGCUGUAUAUCAUUUACAGUACUCGAGGAAAUUGUUAUCCGUGCAUUUCUGAAACAGGAAAUUCCUGCAAACACAACAUUCAGAAAGGUGUCUAGAUGUGAAUUAUUCCUUCUCUCAUUUGGCAAACAGUUCUUCAUUAUAGGAAAUGUUGUAUAUGCUCUAGUACAUCUUGAUCAACUUCUGUUUUUAAGAAAUGGGAAAGAAGCCAAGUACCUCAAACUCGGUUUGUCAGUUUAGUUACUGUAAUCAAAUUACUUGAACAAGUUUUAUUCAUUUGAUACAGGUGUAAGCCAUUUAUCUCCCCAUUCCUUGACACUGCUGAGUGGGUUUGUUGCUGUUAUAUCAGUCAACAUAGUUAUUGCAUUCUACAUUUAUAUGGCAAUGAAGGAACCUUCAGAUAAGCAUGAGCCAGAUGCAAAAUUUGUUUCUGAGGCCAAAGCUAGUGUUAGUCAGCUUACAGGUAAAGCAGAGGAUUCUUCACAAUCUCUGAAGAAAGAAGAGUAGGCUGGGCAAGCCACAAUUUCAGCACCUGGGAUGAACAGACCUCAUUGAAGUUGAGGCUGGGCUUUGAUGACAGUGCAAGAUUUUUCUUGGGACGUGACUUCCCACUGUUUAUUGUACGUUAUAUUUUGGCCUGUUCACUGUUUUUUUUAUCCCAUUUCACAUGAUGUAGCAAUUAUUACCUGAAAGAUCAGCAUUUCAAGGAUGAAUUAUUUGUAAUUAUGAGUUCUGCAUGAUGACAUUGUUGUGGCAGCAUGUGUGGUACAUUGCAAUUUUAUCUUAUGGUCAAAUAUAUAUAUAUAUACUCAACAUUUAUCGAA